rnacentral:rRNA from 1 species
GAUGAACGCUGGCGGCGUGCCUAAUACAUGCAAGUCGAGCGAACAGACGAGGAGCUUGCUCCUCUGACGUUAGCGGCGGACGGGUGAGUAACACGUGGAUAACCUACCUAUAAGACUGGGAUAACUUCGGGAAACCGGAGCUAAUCCCGGAUAAUAUAUUGAACCGCAUGGUUCAAUAGUGAAAGACGGUUUUGCUGUCACUUAUAGAUGGAUCCGGGCCGCAUUAGCUAGUUGGUAAGGUAACGGCCUAUCAAGGCAACGAUGCGUAGCCGACCUGUGAGGGGGGUAGGCCCCCUCAGGAGUUGACCACCGGCCUGGGGCCUGAGGGGGGGAGCAGGAGGGAAAGCUACGCAAAAGUGGGAAACCUUGCCGAAGGAACGCAAGGGAGGUGAGGAAGGUCUGCGAUCGGGAAAACUGUGUUCUAGGGGAAAACCAAUGUGUAAGUAACUAUGCACGUCUUGACGGUACCUAAUCAGAAAGCCACGGCUAACUACGUG